AGACAGCGUGUCUGAGGUGCAGGCGCGUGACUACCACAGCUUUCAACUUAGCAGAAGACCACAGAACGGGCUUGCAAGGGGCACAACCCCUGCGUGUUGGUGGGGAUGUGAAGAAAUGCCUUGUGGAGCCUGGUGAAGAAGUGAAAAGGGAUGGGGAGCCAGCAGGAGCAGUUUCUUUGCCAAAUUAUAAACCCAGUUGCAAGCUGGAAGCGUGAAAUCCCACAUCUUUACAAGAAGAAA